rfam:Tncultured Bacteroides sp. TS28_contig23695, whole genome shotgun sequence.
GCUGCUCAAAACUUCACACACCUCUUCGUGGUGAGCAGUAGGCAACGAUCCAUUUUGGUCGGCUGAGAUGUGAAG